GGGCCUGUGGCGCAGUUGGGAGCGCGCCUCCAUGGCAUGGAGGAGGUCGAGGGUUCGAAUCCCUCCAGGUCCACCA
rnacentral:tRNA from 2 species